rnacentral:rRNA from 1 species
GGGAAACGCCCGGUUACAUUCCGAACCCGGAAGCUAAGCUGCGUAGCGCCGAUGGUACUGCAAGGGGGACCUUGUGGGAGAGUAGGACGCCGCCGAAC